UUGGCUAUCACAUGAGCUCAGGUGUGCAGAACAUGAGCAGCCCCCCUUGAGCCUCGCUUGCUUCCAGGAGCUGAAGGGAUUUGUGCCAGAAAAGGAGAAGCUGGACCUGCAGGGACUUUCUCUUGCUCCUUUUUGUCACUCAGCCUGUAAGUAGCACUUCUAUGGCCAGAUGAACAAGUGCCGAAAGAGACAGGCUUCUAGCUCCCAGGAUAAACCUCUCCUUUGUCCUUUAUGCUCAGGGAGCUCAGAACUGUAGCUGAAACUUUCAGUAAGGCCAGCCUAAGGUGUGAGGCAUGCCACACACCCACAGAGCUUCCGGGUGAGCCUUAGGACUUCCUCCACUGUGGAUGUCACCAUGAAGGUGGCGUCAUGCUGAGAGCUGAUGCUCUGUGCGGCACCUGGAGUUGGAGGAGGAAGAGCAGAGUCCAGGGAAGAAGGUACCCAGCAUUUAGGCACGGGAGUUUCCAGCCUCUUUCACAUCCCUGGGCACUGGCUAUGCUGGGGCCUGCACCAAGCCGGGAGAGGUCACCUGAGGGGUGGCUCUGAAGUUCAUCUUGCUGCUCAGGGGUUGCCAACCAGGAUAGCCCAGGAAGAGCUGGAUACUACCUCCUCCUCCAAGUGCAGCCUGUCUGUGACCCACAUCACACUUUCCAAGCGGAGAAGUUAGGCUUCUUCUUCAGUCCCUGCCUUUGCAGUGGAGUUCCAGCAGUCCAGAAGGAAAAAACAUCCAGAAAUCAAUCAGGGAGCAUUAACAGACUGUGCUUGUUAACCACCUAACACACAGUAAGUGUUCCCCUCUGCCUGGACCUGCAACGCUGGCCUGGUCACCUGGGAAGGGUAGUGUGGCAGAGAAAGAAGUAGGGCACAGCCCCAAGAACCGAGAGUGAAAGGGUUAGGCGGGCCAAGGCGCCCUGGUGGCCUGGCCUG
rnacentral:lncRNA from 1 species